AGCUGGCUGGUCCCAUGAGGUGACUUCUGCCCAGUGCUCUGAUUGUCAAGGCGAAGAGAUUCAGCCAAGCGCGGGUAAACGGCGGGAGUAACUAUGACUCUCUUAAGGUAGCCAAAUGCCUCGUCAACCAAUUAUUGACGCGCAUGAAUGGAUCAACGAGAUUCCUGCUGUCCCUAGGUGCUGUCCGGUGAACCAACAGCCAAGGGAACGGGCUUGGGCGUGUCAGCGGGGAAAGAAGACCCUGUUGAGUUUGACUCUAGUUUGAUGCUGUGCAGUGACAUGUCGGGUGUAGCACAGGUGGGAGGCCAGUGCCACCGGAGCGUGCCUGUGGGCGUGUGCAAUGUGCAACGAGAUGGCGCCAGCCAGCAGUGAAAUACCACUACCUUCACCGUCGCUUUACUCAUCGAGUGGCUUGGGAACAGUGGCCAUUUGGACAUCAACCUCCGCAUUCCUGUGGUGGUUGCGGCCUUAUCCUGCUUCGUGUGUCAAGCGCUCCACCCCGUGUGGUGCGUGACCCUGGGGGUUCCGUCCCCCAACCAGCAUAUCGGUGCCUCGGGACAAUGAUCAGUUGGGGAGUUUGGCUGGGGCGGCACGCCUGUCACAAGACAACGCAGGCGUCCUGAAGCAUUGCUCAGAUGGAACGGAAAUCCUGCAUGGAGGAGCAGGCCAAAGGUGCUGCUGAUGCGGCGGCUCCCAGUACGAGCCCAAAACGUGCAAGUGUGGCCUUGCGAUCCUUUGGCCAAGUGCGCGGGUUCUGGAUAUUGAAGCCAGAGGUGUCAGAAAAAUUACCACAGGGAUAACUGGCUUGUGGCUGCCAAGCGUUCAAAGCGACGUCGCUUUUUGAUCCUUCGAUGUCGGCUCUUCCUAGCUUCCCACCCGCAGCCGAGUGGAAGAGUUGGAUUGUUCACCCACCAACAGGGAACGUGAGCUGG
rnacentral:rRNA from 1 species